GCAAGUCGAGCGAUGAGAUCACUUCGGUGAAGGAUGAGCGGCGAACGGGUGAGGAACACGUGAAGAAUCUGCCUUCAACUCUGGGAUAACUCCGGGAAACCGGGGCUAAUACCGGAUAUGAGCCUUGAUCGCAUGAUCGGGGCUGGAAAGUUUUUCGGUUGAAGAUGACUUCGCGGCCUAUCAGCUUGUUGGUGAGGUAAUGGCUCACCAAGGCGACGACGGGUAGCCGGCCUGAGAGGGCGACCGGCCACACUGGGACUGAGACACGGCCCAGACUCCUACGGGAGGCAGCAGUGGGGAAUAUUGGGCAAUGGAGGAAACUCUGACCCAGCGACGCCGCGUGCGGGAUGAAGGCCUUCGGGUUGUAAACCGCUUUCAGCAGGGAAUAAGCGCAAGUGAAGGUACCUGCAGAAGAAGCACCGGCUAACUAUGUGCCAGCAGCCGCGGUAAUACAUAGGGUGCAAGCGUUGUCCGGAAUUAUUGGGCGUAAAGAGCUCGUAGGUGGUUUGUUACGUCGGUUGUGAAAUUCAGGGGCUCAACCCCUGACUUGCAGCCGAUACGGGCAAGCUAGAGUUUGGUAGGGGAGACUGGAAUUCCUGGUGUAGCGGUGGAAUGCGCAGAUAUCAGGAGGAACACCGAUGGCGAAGGCAGGUCUCUGGGCCAAUACUGACACUGAGGAGCGAAAGCGUGGGGAGCGAACAGGAUUAGAUACCCUGGUAGUCCACGCCGUAAACGGUGGGCGCUAGUUGUGCGAACCUUCCACGGUUUGUGCGACGCAGCUAACGCAUUAAGCGCCCCGCCUGGGGAGUACGAUCGCAAGAUUAAAACUCAAAGGAAUUGACGGGGCCCCGCACAAGCAGCGGAGCAUGCGGCUUAAUUCGACGCAACGCGAAGAACCUUACCAAGGCUUGACAUAUACAGGAAUAUGGCAGAGAUGUCAUAG
rnacentral:rRNA from 1 species